CCAGGCCCUGCUGCACGUUCCAGGAGGGAGCGGUAGAGGAGUGAGACACACGGCAAUUCAGAGCAUGACACCAGCAACGAGAAAAAGAGAGGCGCUCAUCCUUUUGACCCACCCUGCAACAGCUGCCAAGCCCGACCCAGAGGCCUGCCCACCAGUGCUGAGAGCCUGGCCGGCCUCUGCAAGGGGCCCAGGGACACAGACCAGCUAACAAAGGAAGGGGGGCAGCGAGGCAGGGACAAAAAGCACAACCCAACAUGGAGAUGAACGAGGACACAAGAGCCACCCUCCAGGAGCUCCAUCCGCCUGGAGGCUGCCCUGCGUGAAGUGGGCAUGGAGCUCAUGACGCGUCCGAGGAAACUGGAGAGGGCAGAUCAAUCGUCGUCUGAAACAACAGGCCGCCUCCCUCGCCAUCAAUGCACAGCUUGGCGUUGGCAGCACUGCCUGGCGAGGGGGCCAAGCCUGUUCCACCCGCUGAAGGCUGGGUGGAUGGAGGAGUGGGCAGAGCCCUCCACACACGUACACAGCCCACAUGGAAAAGCAGGAACAGAAGGAGCACUGGCUUUGGAGUCAGACAGACCUGGGUUUCAUUUAGACUCCUGACUCUCCUCAUUUAUCAGUAGAGACGUCCGGGCAGCACGGAACGGACCAGAAGCCCCUAGAAGUGUGAAGACCGAAGGUGGUGGCGAGAAGGAAGAGCGUGACCCUGGGAAGUGGGGAGUGUGUCCCCCACCCCCGCUCACCCGUCAGAGGGGAAACCACGGCUCAGAAACAAGUGACACAUCCAAGGCUCACAGUGACCACAGGCCACGCAGACCCGAGACUCAAACCAGUAUUUGACCCCACCUGACAUCCGUCACGUGCCCAUUUGACUGUUCGGAGGCAGCCCCGUGACAGCAGGGGUCUGUCUGAGUCGCAUCUGCACCCCACGGUCUGCCUCAGCAGCAGCCACACGGCCGGGGCUCAGUGGAGGUCUGCCGGGUCCACGAAAGAAUGAAAUACAGCAGUGGAGGCGAGUCAGAGCUACUGGAAGGGCAGGGGUCCGAGGCUUUGGGCCCGGGCCUGUCUUCAUCACAGGUGUGGGACCGAGAGGGGCACAAACUUAUGCUUCACGUAGUCAUUCAACAAAUGUUUACGGACACGCCUUCUUGCCAAGUCCAGUGCUGGCACUGAAUGUGCCAAGUGGAGUCUCCAGAGAGGCCCCUGACUGCAUGGGAGACGUGCUGGGGGCUGGGGGACCCUUGGAAGGGGAACCUCACCCAGUCUUGGGCCUCAGGGAGGGUUUCCUAAAGGAAGUGAUGUGUGAGUUUAGUCUCAGGAUGAGUAGCAUUUAGCCAGGGGAGGAGGAAGCGUGUUCCAGGCAGAAGACACAGCACAGCCAAUGGCCCAGCGUAGGACGGAGUGUGAGCACUGGGAGAACCGCCCUGUUCCAGUGUGGCUGCGGCAGAGAGCGCGAGGGAGGCCAAGGCGGGAGUGCUCAGAACAAACCAGAGUGUGGAGGCCCUGUGGGCGGGCAGAGGAGCCUGGGCCCCGUGCCAAGGGUGAUGGAGAGCACACCCUGCACUGUCCCGCCUGCCCCCGGUCAGUCCCAAGGACACAGCAACUCAUUUCCACUUCUGGGCUUUCAUGCUUGUUGUUCCCUCUGCCUAGAAAGCUCUUCCCUGACUCUCCACCCUGGCUCGCCUCCUCCUUCCGGUCUAGGCAGGAGGAUGGGCUGCUGAGAGGCUGACCCUGGGCAGCCAACAGCAGUGGACGCCUCCAGGACUACACGUCCCAGCACCCUCUCUGGGUCCUGCAGCGUCUGUGGCAGACAGCUUCGCUGCUCCCAGUUCUCCGCCUCCCGCAGCCACAACCUUCUCUCAGUGCCUUUGUGCGAUCGCCCACCAGGGAUGGUGCAUUCUCCCACCACACUGACUAGGGCCUUGACCCUGAGACUUGCUUUGGCCAGCGGGGUGUGGGCAGAGGUGAGAGAGCCCCAGUUCUGAGCCUUAACAGGCACUGCAGGUUCCUCUUUGCCGCCUUGCCCUCCCACCAUCCUCAUGGGACAGAAAUGUCCCAAGUCGCCCAAGGAUGAGGCCUGCGGAGCAGCCCUGGAGCAAGCCCCCCUGAGCCCAGCUGGAUCCCAUGAUCCCCAGCUGAUCUGCAGACUUAGUUUGUGGACGGUUCAUCCAAAAGAGCUGAUGACCCGGGUGUGGAACACCACACUCUUCUCCCAGGACUAGAGAUGAAGCAGACAGAGAGCUCCUCAGUGACGGAAUCUCAGGCAGAGGCAGAGGCAGCGAGGCAAACCCGGCGGGGGAAGGGGGUCCCUGGGGAGGCGGCAACAACGCAUGUGGGUUGGGAACCCCCAUUCGUGCGCGGAGGAAGCGUGGCGAGCAACGCUCCCAUCUGCUCAGCUCUUUGCAGUUUACAGAGCGCUUUCCUACACGCCUCCAGGGCCAGUGCCCACGGCAACCUCGCAGGAAGCUGUCCUCCCCACGGAGGCCUGAGAAGACUGAGGCUGUUGACUUUUCGGAGCACACACAGCCUUGAAGGACCAGAGUGGGGACCAGGGCUGGUCUGAUCGCCACCUGAGCUGGCUCUGCUCUGCCGACGUGGAGAUCACUUCCAGGAGCUGGAGACUCGGGGCAGGCUGGUGUCCUAAGGGGUGGGGGGGGGGUCAGCCCACGCGGGAGCCUGGUGACCCCCUGGGGAGUCCGGGCACUGGGAAGGAGGUCGGUGCCCUGUGGAUUUGUCUCCGUGGAGGGAACCACAAUCUUUAGAACGAAGCUCACCUUCAGAAAAGACUCUCAGAAAGAACUCGGGUGAUAAAGAUGCUCGGAGGACGGAGGUGAGAGGACGAUUAAGAGGUGAGGGGGCGAGGUAACCUCCUGCGGAAAAGCUGCUCAGGCCGGGCCUUGAGGAGAAGCCGGUGCGGAGAAUUCUGCCGGCAGAGCUCAGGGAAGCUCCCAGCUCCUCACCACCCUCUCCCCGCUGAGACAGGCAGCGCUCCCUUCUCGAGGCACCCUGGACGGACCAUGCUCUGCACACAUUGCGUCACUCGUUGGUGAUAUUCUGCUUGGCGGUUUCUGUGUCGGCCUCGCCUACUAGACUUGGCGCUGCCCUCUCAUUCAUUCGUUCACUCAUUCCUUCACCCACAGGGUGCCUAGCAGUACUGGGUGCUGGAGAUCCAGUGACAGGUGGGAUGGACAAGGUCGCGUGGAUAGUGGUGUGAAGGGUCAGGAGAGAGGGCUUUCCUGUGGCCUCACACCUGGACACCUGGCUUUCUCGAUGAGGAAUCCAGGUGCUAGAAUCUUCCAGCCAAGAACUUGUUACAGUGGCCCCCUUCCUGUCUCCACAGCAGCCUGGCUUUCCCCCGCUGCAGCUUUGUUCCUUUGGCUCCAGACGUUGCUUCCUGUUAAAUUCAGAUCUGCCCACCACAGAGGAACACAGUGGCCUUGUCCAUCAGGACUCCUGUGAGACAGCUGAGGCUCGGGAAGGUCACAUAGCUGGGAGAAGGCAGAGCUGGGGAGCAAACUCAGGCCGAUGAGACGCCAGUGUGUAUGUCCUUCGACGACAGCCCAGCUCCUGGCUUCCCCAGGCAGUUGGAGAAGGCCCAUCUGCAGCAGGACAGAAGGAGCCCAGCCCAGAGACACCCAAGGCCAAGAGGUCCACGGCCCACUGCUCUUGCCAAGGGCCUGCGUGGGGCCCGAGGGACACGGAGCUGAAGAAGGAGCAGCAGCUGUUCUUGAGCUCACGGUCCAGUGGGGGCGCGGCGAGGAGUCAGCCGCCUGGAUGGAUGUGGGCACCUGCUCUUGGGCCAUCGCUGUGCUGGCAGCUGCAGGACUGGAAGGGAAGGAGCCGUUGGCCAGGAGAAGGUGGCCUCCUGCAUUGGAACUGGCCUCAGGAGAGGGACCAGCCUGAGGGUGUGAGGGUCCAGCAGGAAAGGUGGCACGGGCACAGGGCCGGGCAGGGGUGAGGUGUGGGAAGCGCUGGCUUGGCCCCGAGGGUGAGCACUGCCUUCAAUCUGCACCCCAGGAGCCUCACUUGUGGCGACCUUGUGCCUGCCCCACACACGCCACCAGGGGAAAGUGAGGGACAUUAACCAGGGUGACCUGUGAGGGUGGAGGGCGAGGCUGAGCAGGACCAGGGCCAGAGAGCAAAGGCCACUUCCCUGGCUGGCCAGAGGAGGGCGCAGCUCCAACGGAGGGGACAGGGGCUGUGACCUCAGCGGGGAUGCAGCCAACUGAGGCAGCCCCGAGGGAGGGAGCCAAGAACGCACACCCCAACCCCGCUCCCUUCCUGCUGUCCAUCUCCCAUGAGCCUGCACCGCACCGUGGUCAACCCCAAUGGGGAAACAGAGGCCAGGGAGCCCCUCGAUGCCGGCUGUGGCGGGCAGAACGAUGCUCUUCACAGGGAUCCAUGUACACAUCCCUGGAACCUUCCAUGGCAAACGGGACUUUGCAAGUGUAAUUAAAUUAAAGACUUUGAGAUGGGGAGAUUUCUGGAUUAUCUUGGGCCCAACGGAAUCACAAGAGUCCUCAAAGAGGGAGGCAGGAGGGUCAGAGGCAGGGAGCAGAGAUACGAGGAUGGAACUUGAGGGUCAAAGAGGCUGGAAGAUGCUCCGCUGCUGGCUUUGAAGAUGGGAGAAGGUGCCACGAACCAAGGAAAGCCAGUGGCCUCCAGAAGCUGGAAAGGACAAGGAAACGGGUCUCCAUAGCACCCCCAGAUGGAGCCUGCCCUGCCGCCAACACCUUGACCUCAGCCCUGAGACUGAUUUCGGACUUCUGACCUCCAGACUGGAAGAGAGUAAAUCUGUGUUGUUUAAGCCAC